rnacentral:rRNA from 1 species
UACGUAGGGGGCAAGCGUUGUCCGGAAUCAUUGGGCGUAAAGAGCGUGUAGGCGGCUCGGUAAGUCCGCUGUGAAAGUCCAGGGCUCAACCCUGGAAUGCCGGUGGAAACUGUCGAGCUAGAGUCCGGAAGAGGCGAGUGGAAUUCCUGGUGUAGCGGUGAAAUGCGCAGAUAUCAGGAGGAACACCGGUGGCGAAGGCGGGUCUCUGGGCCGAUGACUGACGCUGAGGAGCGAAAGCGUGGGGAGCGAACAGG